rnacentral:rRNA from 1 species
ACUCGUAGCAGAUAGCUCAGUAACACGUGGCCAAACUACCCUAUGGAUCCGAAUAACCUCGGGAAACUGAGGCUAAUAUGGAAUAGCGUUCAUCGCCUGGAGUGGCACGAACGCGAAACGUUACGGCGCCAUAGGAUGUGGCUGCGGCCGAUUAGGUAGACGGUGGGGUAACGGCCCACCGUGCCCAUAAUCGGUACGGGUUGUGAGAGCAAGAGCCCGGAGACGGUAUCUGAGACAAGAUACCGGGCCCUACGGGGCGCAGCAGGCGCGAAACCUUUACACUGCACGCGAGUGCGAUAAGGGGACUCCGAGUGCGAGGGCAUAUAGUCCUCGCUUUUCACGACCGUAAGGUGGUCGUAGAAUAAGUGCUGGGCAAGACCGGUGCCAGCCGCCGCGGUAAUACCGGCAGCACGAGUGAUGACCGCUAUUAUUGGGCCUAAAGCGUCCGUAGCUGGCCACGCAAGUCUAUCGGGAAAUCCGCGCGCUUAACGCGCGGGCGUCCGGUGGAAACUGCGUGGCUUGGGACCGGAAGACCAGAGGGGUACGUCCGGGGUAGGAGUGAAAUCCCGUAAUCCUGGACGGACCACCGGUGGCGAAAGCGCCUCUGGAAGACGGAUCCGACGGUGAGGGACGAAAGCUCGGGUCACGAACCGGAUUAGAUACCCGGGUAGUCCGAGCUGUAAACGAUGUCUGCUAGGUGUGGCACAGGCUACGAGCCUGUGCUGUGCCGUAGGGAAGCCGUGAAGCAGACCGCCUGGGAAGUACGUCCGCAAGGAUGAAACUUAAAGGAAUUGGCGGGGGAGCACUACAACCGGAGGAGCCUGCGGUUUAAUUGGACUCAACGCCGGACAUCUCACCAGCAUCGACAAUGUGCAGUGAACGUCAGGUUGAUGACCUUACUGGAGCCAUUGAGAGGAGGUGCAUGGCCGCCGUCAGCUCGUACCGUGAGGCGUCCUGUUAAGUCAGGCAACGAGCGAGACCCGCACUCCUAAUUGCCAGCAA